CGGUCCCUAUCCGUCGUGGGCGCAGGAAAUUUGAGAGGAUCUGUCCUUAGUACGAGAGGACCGGGAUGGACAUACCUCUGGUGUACCAGUUGUUCUGCCAAGAGCACCGCUGGGUAGCUACGUAUGGAUUAGAUAAUCGCUGAAAGCAUCUAAGUGAGAAACUAACCUCGAGAUGAGAUUUCCCAUUCGUCAGAAGUAAGACCCCUGAGAGACGAUCAGGUAGAUAGGCUAGAAGUGGAAGUGUAGUGAUGCAU
rnacentral:rRNA from 1 species